rfam:Camelus ferus unplaced genomic scaffold scaffold550, whole genome shotgun sequence.
GAGGGUAUAGCUCCGUGGGAGAGCACAUGCUUAGCAUGCACAAGGUCAUGGGUUCAAUCCCCAGUGCCUCCA